GGGCCCGUGGCCUAGUCUGGAUAAGGCACUAGCCUCCUAAGUUAGUUAGCCCCGGUUCAAAUCCGGGCGGGCCCGCCA
rnacentral:tRNA from 2 species